AGCUCGGUGAGAAAAUAGCAGCAACAACUGCUCCGUCCAGCAGCGACGAACGACAACGACAGCAGUUCCAACCAGCAACUAGGCGAGCUCCGAAGAAAGCGAACUCCGGCAAACAUUUGAAGUUUUUCUUUUGAGUUUUAAGACGAAUCUUUGACAGAUCCGUCUGAAUUGCAUUUUCAUUACUCGUCUCGAUGCUUUUAUCAUGGUGUUGCUGCUGGUUCUCCACAUUCUGCUUUGAGUACGCUGGCGCCUCACCAACCUCUGACGAGACAGCUUUCUAGCUGUAUGGCAAAUUGCCCUAGACGAGAACACUCUGCAGAGGACCGGGUCCCUACAUUUGUGAAGAUCAUCAAAACAUCUGGAACAGUAAGACUUAUCAUUUGAACUGCUCCUUGUUUGCUGUUUCAACAUGUAUCAUCUGGUGAUAAUAUCUCGUUAUUUUUAAUCAUCUCCUUCCAAAAUUUCUUGAAAUUGAUAAUGAGCCUUGAUGAUAACAAUAUCUCUUCAUGUUUCAUUUGUACUUUUUCAUCUGCUAAUCACACUUAACAGUAAAUAUCCCAGUACUAAACUAUUGUAUGCAUAUAACAAAACCACAUAAUAUGCAUAAAUUCAAGUAUAAUGAUAACAAUAUAUCAGGUUAUUUUUUAAAAACAGUGAAAUUCAACUGAUUUAGGGGGUUAGAAAAGAACAUUGUAAUUAGAUUUACCUAUCUUUCAAUCGCUAGAUAAAAAGAAUCCACCUCAAUCACAACUAUGUGAUAUAGGAUGUGCAUUAAUUAAUGAAUAAUGGAGGAAUAUUAAUUUAUUUAUCUUAUGUGGUUAUCUUCAUGCAUUAGGGGGAAAUGGAAGAGUUAAUAAAUAUAAAUGUGAUUGUCCUUUUGUAUUCAUACCAUGAAUGUGCAGUAACUUUUAAGAAUCACUUGUAUAGUAAAUAUUGUCCUUUUGUAGUCAUACCAUGAAUGUGCAGUAGCUUUUAUGAAUCACUUGUAUAGUAAAUUUACAUUUGUGUACAAUAAUGUUAAGAAAUUAUUGGCGGACUUAAGGCAAAGUAUAUAUUAUAAUUAAUGUGUGUGUAUAUAUAUAUUGUCCAUAAAUAUAUAAUAAUAGUA